UAGGGAAUCUUCGGCAAUGGACGAAAGUCUGACCGAGCAACGCCGCGUGAGUGAAGAAGGUUUUCGGAUCGUAAAACUCUGUUGUUAGAGAAGAACAAGGACGUUAGUAACUGAACGUCCCCUGACGGUAUCUAACCAGAAAGCCACGGCUAACUACGUGCCAGCAGCCGCGGUAAUACGUAGGUGGCAAGCGUUGUCCGGAUUUAUUGAACGUAAAGCGAGCGCAGGCGGUUUCUUAAGUCUGAUGUGAAAGCCCCCGGCUCAACCGGGGAGGGUCAUUGGAAACUGGGAGACUUGAGUGCAGAAGAGGAGAGUGGAAUUCCAUGUGUAGCGGUGAAAUGCGUAGAUAUAUGGAGGAACACCAGUGGCGAAGGCGGCUCUCUGGUCUGUAACUGACGCUGAGGCUCGAAAGCGUGGGGAGCAAACAGG
rnacentral:rRNA from 1 species